AACUCCCACUCCGGGAAUUGAACCCGGGCCUUCUAAGUGAAAGCCAAAUAUCCUAGGCAUUAGACCACUUUGGACUACAAAAGU